CCUACGGGAGGCAGCAGUGGGGAAUUUUGGACAAUGGGCGCAAGCCUGAUCCAGCAAUGCCGCGUGAGUGAAGAAGGCCUUCGGGUUGUAAAGCUCUUUUGUCAGGGAAGAAACGGCAGUUUCUAAUACAGAUUGCUAAUGACGGUACCUGAAGAAUAAGCACCGGCUAACUACGUGCCAGCAGCCGCGGUAAUACGUAGGGUGCAAGCGUUAAUCGGAAUUACUGGGCGUAAAGCGUGCGCAGGCGGUUUUGUAAGUUUGUCGUGAAAUCCCCGGGCUCAACCUGGGAAUGGCGAUGAAGACUGCAAGGCUAGAAUCUGGCAGAGGGGGGUAGAAUUCCACGUGUAGCAGUGAAAUGCGUAGAGAUGUGGAGGAACACCGAUGGCGAAGGCAGCCCCCUGGGUCAAGAUUGACGCUCAUGCACGAAAGCGUGGGGAGCAAACAGGAUUAGAUACCCUGGUAGUCCACGCCCUAAACGAUGUCUACUAGUUGUCGGGUUUUAAUUAACUUGGUAACGCAGCUAACGCGUGAAGUAGACCGCCUGGGGAGUACGGUCGCAAGAUUAAAACUCAAAAGUAAUUGACGG
rnacentral:rRNA from 1 species